AAUCCGUCGACUUUAAAAAUCGU
rnacentral:tRNA from 1 species